rnacentral:rRNA from 1 species
ACGAACGCUGGCGGCGUGGAUAAGACAUGCAAGUCGAACGGGAACUUUUCUUGUAGCAAUACGAGGGAAGUUUUAGUGGCGAUCGGGUGCGUAACACGUGGGCAAUCUGCCUUAAAGUGUGGGAUAGCUCGGCGAAAGCCGAAUUAAUACCGCAUGUGGCUACUGGAGACAUCUUCGGGACGCUAAAGGUGGCGCAAGCUACCGCUUUUUGAGGAGCCCGCGGCCUAUCAGCUUGUUGGUGAGGUAACGGCUCACCAAGGCGUUGACGGGUAGCUGGUCUGAGAGGACGACCAGCCACACUGGGACUGAGACACGGCCCAGACACCUACGGGUGGCAGCAGUCGAGAAUUUUUGACAAUGGGGGAAACCCUGAUCGAGCGACGCCGCGUGGAGGAUGAAGGUCUUCGGGUUGUAAACUCCUGUCAUUUGGGAACAAGGCGCGUGUAUUAACUGUGCACGCGUUGAUAGUACCAGAAGAGGAAGGGACGGCUAACUCUGUGCCAGCAGCCGCGGUAAUACAGAGGUCUCAAGCGUUGUUCGGAUUCAUUGGGCGUAAAGGGUGCGUAGGCGGUCGGGUAAGUCUGAUGUGAAAUCUCACAGCUUAACUGUGAAACUGCAUUGGAUACUAUCCGGCUUGAGGAAUGGAGGGGAGACUGGAAUACUUGGUGUAGCAGUGAAAUGCGUAGAUAUCAAGUGGAACACCAGUGGCGAAGGCGAGUCUCUGGACAUUUCCUGACGCUGAGGCACGAAAGCCAGGGGAGCAAACGGGAUUAGAUACCCCGGUAGUCCUGGCCCUAAACGGUGCGCAUUUGCUGUGAGUGGAAUCGACCCCGCUCGUGGCGAAGCUAACGCGUUAAAUGCGCCGCCUGGGAAAUACGGCCGCAAGGUUAAAACUCAAAGAAAUUGACGGGGGCCUGCACAAGCGGUGGAGUAUGUGGCUUAAUUCGAUGCAACGCGAAGAACCUUACCUGGCCUUGACAUGCAAGUAGUAGAAGGGUGAGAGUCUGACGAGGUAGCAAUACCAGCUUGCACAGGUGCUGCAUGGCUGUCGUCAGCUCGUGUCGUGAGAUGUUGGGUUAAGUCCCGCAACGAGCGCAACCCCUGUGUCCUGUUGCCACCACACUUCGGUGUGAGCACUCUGGACAGACUGCCUCGCUUCAACGAGGAGGAAGGUGGGGAUGACGUCAAGUCAGUAUGGCCCUUACGGCCAGGGCUGCACACGUACUGCAAUGCCCGGCACAAAGGGAAGCAAGAUCGUAAGAUGGAGCAAUCCCCUAAAACCGGGCCCAGUUCAGAUUGUCGUCUGCAACUCGACGGCAUGAAGCUGGAAUCGCUAGUAAUGGCGCAUCAGCUACGGCGCCGUGAAUACGUUCCCAGGCCUUGUACACACCGCCCGUCACAUCAUGAAGCCGGUUGCACCCGAAGCCGCCCCUUAAAAGGUGUCGAAGGUAUGACUGGUGAUUGGGAUG